CCUACGGGUGGCAGCAGUGGGGGAUAUUGCACAAUGGGGGGAACCCUGAUGCAGCGACGCCGCGUGGGUGAAGAAGCGCCUCGGCGCGUAAAGCCCUGUCAGCAGGGAAGAAAAUGACGGUAACUGAAGAAGAAGCCCCGGCUAACUACGUCCCCGCCACCGCGGGAAUCCGUAGGGGGCAGGCGGUAUCCGGAUUUACUGGGUGGAAAGGGGGCGCUGACGGCGAUGCCAGCCAGGAGGGAAAGCCCGGGGGCCAAACCCGGGACUGCUCUUGGAACUGCGUGGCUGGAGUGCAGGAGGGGCAGGCGGAAUUCCUGGUGUAGCGGUGAAAUGCGUAGAUAUCAGGAGGAACACCGGUGGCGAAGGCGGCCCGCUGGACUGCAACUGACGUUGAGGCCCGAAAGCGUGGGGAGCAAACAGGAUUAGAUACCCCGGUAGUC
rnacentral:rRNA from 1 species